UGUGUUUUGAUGAAUCGAUCGUCGAUGAUGAUGAUUAUGAAAAGAGGUUAUUAAAGGAGAUAAGGAUGAUCGUAUACGACGUCGUUGGAAGAAAGAAAAAAUUGCAAUGGUGAUGAUGAUUGUUGUUGUUGGAGUUAGAAAGAAGCUUUUUUGGAAGGCUGAAAAAUGGGAAGGAGAGGGACCCUGUACAUGAUUUCACGUGGGUCGCACGACUUUUGAGUUACGUGCUUCUCUGCUGUGGAGAACACUAU
rnacentral:lncRNA from 1 species